GACGAACGCUGGCGGCGUGCUUAACACAUGCAAGUCGAACGGUAAGGCUCCAGCUUGCUGGGGUACACGAGUGGCGAACGGGUGAGUAACACGUGGGUGACCUGCCCUGCACUUCGGGAUAAGCCUGGGAAACUGGGUCUAAUACCGGAUAGGACCAUGGUGUGGAUACUGUGGUGGAAAGUUUUUUCGGUGUGGGAUGGGCCCGCGGCCUAUCAGCUUGUUGGUGGGGUAAUGGCCUACCAAGGCGGCGACGGGUAGCCGGCCUGAGAGGGUGGACGGCCACAUUGGGACUGAGACACGGCCCAGACUCCUGCGGGAGGCAGCAGUGGGGAAUAUUGCACAAUGGGCGGAAGCCUGAUGCAGCGACGCCGCGUGGGGGAUGACGGCCUUCGGGUUGUAAACUCCUUUCACCAUCGACGAAGGGUUUCUGACGGUAGAUGGAGAAGAAGCACCGGCUAACUACGUG
rnacentral:rRNA from 1 species